ensembl:lncRNA
AAUCAUGAACUGCACAGAAUAUGAAAGCUCAAUGAGCCAGGUAACAAACCAGUCAAGAAGAACUGGAGGACAGGUUUCUUCAUGUACAUGAUGAUCACAUCUUACUCAAGCAGCAUGCAAAUGAGCAAGAGGAGAAAACUAAAAGCAUUCCUUGCCAAAACCUUUUUAACUAGAAGUUUGGAAUGAAUUUGCAGUAGAAGAACAUUGAAAAAACUCCAUGUAAACAAAAAACCUGCUUACAGGAAAGAAUAAACAAUCCAGAAAAAGAGAAUGAACUCUUGAACAAAAACUAUGAUAAGCUGCAUAAGUGUCUUCUGUAUGACCCAUGAACAGCAAUGGAAAUCAAAGGAACAGCAAAUGAAACUGCAAAUUGCUAAACUAGAGAUGGCUAUCAAAUCUGAUUUAGCAGACAAAAAUGCAAUCCUUGACAAGAUCAAAGUAGAAAGAGUGCUCAGUGAUACCCCAGAAGAUGAGCAGAACUUGAACAUGAAGAUACUGAUUAUGCUGAAUCUGUUUGAAAAAUAUAUUCCCGAAGCAAAGAAAUACCAUUGAACAAGCCAUUGGUGUAAAAACAGUACUGUCCUCUGAAGUCUGCUCUGAAGUUGACAGUUCACUGAGUGAUUUGUUCAAGAAUAUACAAAAUGCUUUGGAUCUCUAAGAGCAUCCAAUCUGUCCUAUAAUAGGUCUUUCAACAGGGUAAGUGAUGGAAGGUUUAUUCUGUGUUUUCCUUUCUCUAAACCUCUUCUGAGCUAUCCCAGCAGCCUAGAAGUUGCAACAUGAAGGAUCAUUGCAUAUCCUAGAGUACUUAUCCUAAUUAUUAAAUACAUAACGUUGCUAUUUGUCAGCUGUGUAAUUUGCUUUGAAAAGAUAUGCUGUCAAGAUUAUUUGUUUUUAUUCAAAUUCCUUCUAGAGUCAUGUUAGGCAGCCUCAGUGCUUUUUGUGCAGGACUGGGAAAGAGCCUCAUUUUUGACUUAGCAGCAUGUUUUAAUCACAGCAGUAGAGAUUCUGGCCCUCUGGGCUUACUUAGAUAUUGUGAAAGAGUGCAAUUUUAAAUCAUGUCAGCUAAUUUCUGUAACAUAGAAAUUUUAAAUACUGCUUUAAAACCCACAUACACAAAGAUGAAGGUAGUUAGUUUAGUCUAGGGGAAUUAUCAUCUUUGCUCAUACUUCACUAUUUUACAACACACAAAAGCUUGGAAUUUAAAUAAUUUUGCUCUGCAUAAACUGGAAAGAGAACUUGCUAUUUAAAUACUAAUAAUUGUCCAGGCUGACUUGGACCCAUCAUACACACAGUAUAGAAAAUGCAUUAAUUAGUAUAUUUUUUAUUUUAAAUUAUUUCUGACUAUGCAUAUAUGUUUUCAAUAGAGCUUGGAACACCUUUAUCUACACAUUGUGAAAAAUUGCUAAUUUAUGUACGCAAUUAUUAUACAAAUAGUUUUAUUUCAGAGUUAAUUCCAGCCCUGAUAGUUUCUUUGAUGUACAUUCUAGUUCUUAGAACGCUCAGUUUCCAGUAGGCUGAGUACCUGAAAAGUAAGCUUUAUUAUUUAUUUACCUCUUCCUUUUUUUUUUUUAAACAUACACUAGGAGCCUUUUAAUCUGUCCAAACGCUAAGGAAGAUUACCAGAACAAAAUGAAACCUUAAAUGAAACUGCUAAUGCUGUUUUGUAAUGUUUCCUUUCUAGUUUUUGAUUCACAAGAUGACAGUGCAGUAAUUGGAAAGCUCAGAGGAGCACUGGAAGCCCUCCAUGCCUGCCCUCAGCCGAGAGGGGAAUGCAAAGAUGACUACGAGGCAUGAAAGGAAGUUUGCCUACACAAGAGCCUUCUCCCAGUGUAAAUACAUGCUUGAUAGUGCAUCAAAGAUGAGAUCUUUGUAAUUCCUGCAGUAUAUUUAAUGUAUAAUUUAUAUGAAAAGGACGCUUGAUUUGUAGUUGUAAAGUUUUGUAUACUUUUCAGUCUGUUUGUUUUUAUAUUUCCCCCCUAAGGCUAAGAAUAUCACCACAAUGGACAACGCCUUGUAAAUAAUUAAUACCUACAUGAUUGAACGACGUGCUUUAUUUGCAUUUUUAAGAUUUUUUUUUCCUACAUAAAACAGUAAUAAAAAUGCAAGUCAAAAUUUUAAUUUUUAAUAA